AUUUGACUUGGCUCGAGAACUUGAAGGACUUGUUGAUAUGUUCUCUGUCCAGUGCAUUAAUCACAAUGUUGAGACAGUUCUAGAUCUCUCUGAUGAUAUGCCAAAAUUAGUUAAAGGAGACUCAGCCAGAGUCGUUCAAAUUUUCGCAAAUCUGAUUAGCAAUUCCCUCAAGUUCACAACCUCUGGCUACAUCAUUCUUCGCGGAUGGUGUGGAAGUGCUCGCGGAGGGAAUUUUCCACUUAAUCAGAA
rnacentral:misc_RNA from 1 species